GUAGGUGAACCUGCGGAAGGAUCAUUAAAAGUAAAUGCGUAUUCAUAUGAAUAUACAUAUACAAACCCAUUCCGAGUACAUUACCUGUUGCUUCCGUGGAGCAGUGAUUCGUCACCUCUGACGAUGGCUUCGGCCAUCCAAGGGGAGUCUCCACGGGAGGUAUACAUUAAACUCUUGCAUUACCAUGUCUUCUGUCUGAAUCUGUUUAUAACAAACGUUAAAACUUUCAACAACGGAUCUCUUGGUUCUC
rnacentral:misc_RNA from 1 species